GGUAGAUGUCAUGUUGAAUUGUGGUUGUUGUUUUAAUGAUUCCCCCUGCGCCUCGUUUAUGUCAUAGUGGGUCUUUCCCCCCCCUGUAAGCUGCCUUGAGUCCCUUCAGAAGAAAAGGUAGGCAGAACUGCACGCAAACAGUGCAGAAAUGGGAGAAAGUGCAUCAGUGGUCAGCAAACAGCAAAUCUGUUAGAAAAGAACCACAACUUGUAGCGCAACCGUAAGGAAAAUACUCCUGCAGCAUUUGGGACUUUGGUUUAGAGAAAAGAGGUCAAGCUCGCUUUGUAAGAUGCAUGAAGUGUUGGUGCUGACCUUUAAAGCCCUAAACAGCCUCGGUCCAGUAAUCUGAAGGAGCAUCUCCACCCCCAUCGUUCUGCCCAGACACUGAGGUCCAACGCCGAGGGCCUUCUGGCGAUUCCCUCACUGCGAGAAGCCAAGUUACAGGGAACCAGGCAGAAGGCCUUCUCGGUAGUGGCACCCACCCUGUGGAACGCGCUCCCACCAGAUGUCAAAGAGAACAACAACUACCAGACUUUUAGAAGACAUCUGAAGGCAGCCCUGUUUAGGGAAGCUUUUAAUAUCUAAGGACUAUUGUAUUUUAAUAUUUUGUUGGAAGCCGCCCAGAGUGGCUGGGGAAGCCCAGCCAGAUGGGCGGGGUAUAAAUAAUAAAUUAUUAUAUUAUUAUAUGACAUGAAAUAUUAGUUGGCAGGUAUAUGAAGCAGAAAAUUAUGAGAUGCAAAAAUUACAGCCAGUGAUCACUGGGGCUUAUAUAUAAGAGGCACACCUUAACCUUUUACAGUAGCAGACUGUUGAUCAUUUACUGAGCAUUGCUGUCACCAUUGUAUAAUUAACAGCUUAUAUUUUGGGAAUGAUUCCUGUUCUUAUGUAGCUGCGUUGUUUCAUACUUUCUCGAUGUCCCAUGAUCAUAUUAUAAAGUUGUUGUGUUCUAUGUUGC